rnacentral:RNase_P_RNA from 1 species
UGGGAAGGCCGGGGGGCCGCCUUCGAGUCCUUACGGGCUCGGGGGAGGAACUUCCGGACUCCAAAGGACGCGAUGCCCUCCGAAAGGGGGGGAGCGUCGGGCCCAAGCCCGGCGCGACGGACAGUGCCACAGAGAACAUACCGCCCCGGGCUCGGCUUCGGCUGUUCCCGGGGUAAGGGUGAAAAGGCGAGGUAAGAGCUCACCGCCCCGGGGGCGACCCCGGGGGCUAGGCAAACCCCAUCGGGAGCAAGGCAUAGGGCGGCGUGCGCGGUCCGCGCCCCGGCGUAAGCCGGGAACCGUCCGGUAGCUGCAGCAGAGAAAUGGUCCUCCAGCGCCCGCGAGGGUGUGGACAGAAUCCGGGGUACAGGCCCUCCCAAACG